CAACAUAUAGCUUAAAUAAAGCAUCUCGCUUACACCGAGAAGAUAUCUGUGAGACCCAGAUUAUUUUGA
rnacentral:tRNA from 1 species